GAUGAACGCUAGCUACAGGCUUAACACAUGCAAGUCGAGGGGAAACGAUAUUGGAAGCUUGCUUCCGAUAGGCGUCGACCGGCGCACGGGUGAGUAACGCGUAUCCAACCUGCCCAUCACUUGUGGAUAACCUUGCGAAAGUAAGAAUAAUACCCAAUGACGUCCCUAGAAGACAUCUGAAGGAGAUUAAAGAUUUAUAGGUGCUGGAUGGGGAUGCGUCUGAUUAGCUUGUUGGCGGGGUAACGGCCCACCAAGGCGACGAUCAGUAGGGGUUCUGAGAGGAAGGUCCCCCACAUUGGAACUGAGACACGGUCCAAACUCCUACGGGAGGCAGCAGUGAGGAAUAUUGGUCAAUGGGCGAGAGCCUGAACCAGCCAAGUAGCGUGCAGGAAGACGGCCCUAUGGGUUGUAAACUGCUUUUAUAAGGGAAUAAAGUGGGAGUCGUGACUCCUUUUGCAUGUACCUUAUGAAUAAGGACCGGCUAAUUCCGUGCCAGCCGCCGCUGUAA
rnacentral:rRNA from 1 species